UGCAUAUGAUUCGUCAAGUAGACAGAGGUGAGAAGGCAAAUCUACAGUGAUUCAAAUACCUUCAAGGACAGAAGUAAAGCCCUGCUGAGAUCUGAGGCUAUUGAUGCACUUCUCAGAGAUCAUUUUGUG